CCAAUAGCGUAUAUUAAAGUUGUUGCAGUUAAAAAGCUCGUAGUUGAAUUUCGGAGUUUGUCGGUUGGUCGGGCUUCACUGUCCGCACUGACCUGAUGGAUUCCUACCUUCUGAAUAACCAGCAUGCUAUUAAGUUAGUGCGUUGGGGAAGCAGAGCUAUUACCUUGAAAAAAUUAGAGUGCUUAAAGCAGGCUUAUGCUUGAAUAGAUUAGCAUGGAAUAAUAAAAUAGGACGGCAUGGUUCUAUUUUGUUGGUUUCUAGGAUCACCGUAAUGAUUAAUAGGGAUAGUUGGGUGCAUUAGUAUUUAAUUGUAAGAGGUGAAAUUCUUGGAUUUAUUGAAGACUAACUUCUGCGAAAGCAUUUGCCAAGGAUGUUUUCAUUAAUCAAGAACGAAAGUUAGGGAAUCGAAGACGAUCAGAUACCGUCGUAGUCUUAACCAAAAACUAUGCCGACUAGGGAUCGGACGAUGUUAAUUUUUUAAUGACUCGUUCGGCGCCUUACG
rnacentral:rRNA from 1 species